rnacentral:lncRNA from 1 species
CCAUCUUUUCACAACCUAAACUCUAAUACAUAUUGCAUCUUCAUUCUUGCAUGCCUCCAUAUGACUCCAUGACCAAUGUCUUCAUAAGAAAGAAAGCCACCUUUUACACCAUUGUUUUUCCAUGCCUUGAAUGCUCAUUUGAUGUGCAUUUACCAAGCAUUGUUUUGCCAUAUCUUUGAGCCUUGCAGUCACAUCAUCACUUACAGACCUGUCACAACCCAAACAGCUACAAAGUAAACCAUCCAUGGCAUCAUCUAACACACAUUUCAAGCAUUCAUAACUAACUCAAUCAUGGCAACAUAUCCUAUAUGGCCAUAGUACAUUAACCUAGCAUGAAGAAACAUACAUGCACAUCUGCAGCAUGAAUAAAUGGGAAAACAUGCAUUUCAAGGAAAAAAACAUUCAAAGCCUUACAUAAACCAUAGGCUGCAGCAAAUCAAACCAAAGCCUACAGCCUGCAAAUCACCUGCAAGUUACCAUUCAAUCAAACUAAACAUAGGUAACACAUCAUGCAAUGCAACCAAGUGAAAACUAACCCACCGCCCUAACCUACAAGACAAACCACCAAUUAUAAAAUAACAACAUCAAUUCAAGCACAACCUGCAUCGAGUCAGCAAACCUAGUCAUGCAACCAAUCAUGCCUAAACCUACAGCAAGACAAUAAAGCUUCACAUCAAGUCUGCACCAACAUUACAUAGCAUAUGAACGUAGCUGACAUAACCUGCAGACAUUGGUAUUGCACAACAACCAUGAUCCAAUCAAGCAAUGCAGAACAUAACAUAUGGCAUGGCAAAAAUCAACAAGGCAAAAGCAAUAUCAAAAUAGAACAUGAGCAAAUGAUUCAAAUCUACAUGAGUUCACAACAUAACCACAUCAAAACCGAAAAUUGAAUUUAACAACUAACUAACAAAACUUAACUCCCAUCUAACAGGAAAUUGAAUUUCACUUUUCACCAUCUAACUACCAACUUAAUUAGAUCGAAUUUACUAACUAACAUAACAACAUUUAACUAACAAAAUAGUUGAGAGUUUCACCAUUUAAUAGAAAUCAUUUUCACUAAGUGCUCAACUUAACAGAAAACGUAAUCUCAACCUAACUAACCUUUAUUCCAUCAUAACUAACUUUUAACUGAAUCUAAUAUUGUUACAUAACUACCAACAACCUUAAAUCAUUCCAACUAACUGAAUUAACAUAAUUCCUUUUUUCUGUUAACUCCCAGUCUAUAAAUUCAGAUCAACCUUCCACAAUUUCCCUCUUUCGAUUCAUUCACCAGAUUCACGAUUCAUUCUUCAUCAUCAAUCUCUAACAUAAACACAUCUCUCUGCAACCUCUCAUUCACAAAGCUCCUUCGAAAUACUACAUUAAAGAUUCACAUCAAAGCUUCAACGGAGUAGAGCUCAACCUCUUCAAUCAUUCAAUUAUUUUCGAUUCAACUCAAUUCUUCAUGAUCGGUCUCCAAUUCUCCUUGUUUUCUGACACUCAUUCGGCACAAUUUCACGAAGUCGGUAACACAUUAUUCUACCUGUUUUAUUGUUCUGUUUAGUAAAUUAGAUGUUUGCAUUUUUAUUUCAAUUUGUUGAUUAUCUUUGGUUUACAUCAUUAUACUCCAUUUUAUGUCUCCUUGUGGUAGUUUUACUGGUUUCAGGUGUAAGCAAGAAUACCAAAGGAAUUGCCAAGGGAAUCAGACGUUCUGGGCCUGUCGGAAGGGGAAAUUAGACAUACAAUAGCCCUAACACGGGUGCCCGCGUCACUUGACAAGGCCCGUGUCAGGAGAAGAGAGCCAUAGCCAUAAAAUAGGGAGCUGACACGGCCGCCCGUGUCAGUCACCCUGGAAGGGGUGUGUCAGCCCUUGCAGCCAGACAACCAACACGGUCGGUCGUGUUACCUGACACGGCCGGUGUUGGCUUGGACGCCUCAUUUUCAAGUUUUUGUUGUAUUUUGGCACGGCUUAUCCCAUAGGGCAUUUUGGACUUUUGCUACAUCAAAUUAGUGAUCAGGAACUAUUUAGGGGAUUUUUGAAUACGGAGAAGAGGGCUUUUGACGAUUACAGAUUUGGUACGAUUAAGAUUGAAGCGAUCAAAAUCGGUGAAGAAUGGAGGUCCUUCAAGAGCGAAUGCGAUUGAAGAUCAACGGAAUUCCCUUACUUUUGUAAUGUCUAAAUUUUAUUUUGUAUUUUAUUUGAAUAAUAUGAGAGGUUAAACCCCUCAAUUCCAGGGGGGUGUCCCUGAAUUGAUCGUGUAAUGACUCUGAAUUAAUAAUUUCCUUAAUAUAUGAUGUUUGUUGUUAAUUUCACUGUGCAAUGUUAGUACUGCUUUCUUUAUCAAAAAAAUUAGGAUUGUUAUAUGGUUAACAAUUUGCAGGAUUGCAAUUGUUAAGGUGUUUGUACAGUGAAACCAUAGUAGAUAUCACCUAGGGAUAAGGAUACCCUAUGGUUACCAGUUUUAUCUUGUUAAUUUGUAAUUGUUUGGUUUCAUUAUAAUCGCCUAAGGACUUAGAUUUUAAAAUGGAUGACCAAAGGUUUCCCUCUGAGGUCAUAGAAGGAAAUAAUUUUAAGAUUCGGUAAUUGAACAUUUUGUAUUGUUAAGGAGAUAUACACUCAAGGGUUAUUACAGGAGAUUUUCAUACACCAUCCUUGGCAUAUUAUUAUAAAUUGUGAAAAGAUUUACCCUAUUUUAUUUUCUCAUACAGUGACUUUUUACAAAACCCCAACUAUUUAUUUUGUUCAAUUGAGUCACAAUUUAAACUUGUAUUGUUGCGCAAUCCUCGAGAUCGAUCUUUGGGAAACAUCCCUAUUAUUACUACAUUGGCAAAAUAGUACACUUGCUAUUUUCCCGAUCAAGUUUUUGGCGCUGUUGUCGGGGGUUGCCAGAUAUGAAGUUUAAAUUAUUUCAAUUAAAAUUUUGUUGCUCUGCAACUAAAAUUUAUUUUCAGUUAUUUUAAUAAUUUAUUUCGAUUAUAUAACUAAUUUGUGUCUGAUAUUUGUAUGUGAGGUAAGACCUCAGUUGAUUUUUCUUUGGAUGCAGAAAUCGAAAGAACUUUGCGAGCAAGACUCAGACAAGCUCGAUUGGCAACACUGGAAUCAGACGAAGAACGACCUUCCAUUCAUUCAGGUUCAGAGAGAGAGAUCGAAACAAUGGUGGAGAAUCCACCGCCACCAGAAAGACUGUUGGGUGACUAUGGAGGUGCAAAUGCACCAACCGACAGAUUAACAAUUGUCAACCAACUAGUGAACGUGUCUAAUUUCCAGUUACAUCCUAGUACUAUUAAUCAACUUGAAAGGAAGCAUUUCACUGGAAAGGUAAAUGAAGAUGCAAACAAACAUUUGCAGAGGUAUCUGACCAUGAGCAACACUCUAAAAAUUAAUGGUCACAUCGAAGAAGUUAAGAAAUUGAGAAUGUUCCCAUUCACCUUAGCGGAAGAAGUCGAAGAAUGGUUCUAUUUUCUACUUGCCGGUAGCAUCACAUCUUGGGAACAGAUGGAAAAAGCCCUCCUGAAUGAGUAUUUUCCAGUGUCGUUUUUUCUGUGGAAGAGGUAUGAAAUUCUGAAUUUUAAGCAGAAGGACGGGGAAACUUUGGGAGACGCCUACAAGAGAUUCAAGAGAGUCCUGGUCGCCUGUCCAACUCAUAAUAUGGAUCCAACCGAACAGAUGCAGAUGUUUGUGAAUGGUCUCAAAAUAAAGACCAAACAGUUGAUUGAUACCGCAACAAGUGGCUCUACUAAUUUCUCAACAGCCACCGAUAUAAAGAAGAUCAUUGAAGUUAUUGCUGCUAAUGAGCACUUGGAGUUGUACGAUAGAUGUCAAAGCAAACCAUAAGGGGUUAUCAAUUUAAAGCUGGAAACUAAUGAAAUCUGUAUUGAAGAUACUAUAUCUACUGAAGUUGAGAAGAAGCUGAAGGCAAUGAAUAUAGGUACAACAGGUGGCACAGGUCCAACCGACUCCUACUGUAUGUUGUGAAAUUUGUAAUGGUCCGCACCAAACGGUGUAUUGUUUUGCAACUCCUCAACAAAUGGAGGAAAUCAAAUUUUUGAAGUAAAAUAAUCCUUAUUCCAACACGUACAAUCCGAGUUGGAAGAAUCAUCCCAACUUCUCAUGGAAAGACCAGAAAGGAAACACUCCUCAACACGGUCAAUACUAAACUCAAUAUCAACAACAGCAACAACAAUAAGCCCCUAAUAAAGUUGAUUGGGAGAUUGACAUCAAAAGAAUGGCAGCUCAUAAUGUUCAAUUCCAAGAAGAAACCCGAAACAAUCAGAAAAACACCACAGCAUCCAUAAAAAAUCUUGAAGUCCAGAUGGGUCAAAUCGCUCAACAAUUAGCCUCGAGUUCUCAAGCACAAGGUGCUCUACCUAGUGCAACUGUGACAAAUCCUAGAGAGCAUAAUAAUGAGAGCACGGUGACAACAAGAAAUGGUAAAUUUGAUGAAGUAGUCGAGGAUGUGGAUGAAGAGGAAGAUCAAUUGAUUGAAGUGGAUCUUGAAAUCAAAGGAAAUGAAGUUGUGAGGGAAGAAGUGGUAGCACCGAAACCAGUAGUGAAAGAAAUAGUCACUGAGCCUAAGCCGGUUGUUAAGCUUCCUUUUCCCACCAGAAACAAGAAAAAGGGGCAACAUGAGAAAAAGUUUGAAAAGUUCCUAGAAUUGUUCAAGAAGCUAGAGAUUAACAUUCUGCUGUUGGAGGCACUUGAACAAAUGCCUACUUAUGCCAAGUUCAUGAAAGACAUCAUUUCUAAGAGGCGUGCCAUCGCCACCAACCCGAUUAUUCUAACCGAAACUUGUAGUGUUAUUUUGUAGGGUAUGAAUAUUCCAAUAAAGAAGAAAGAUCAAAGAGUUGUCACCAUCCCUUGUAUUAUUGGAGAUAUGUCAUUCAACAAAGCUCUUAUUGAUCUUGGAGCUAGUGUGAGUUUCAUGCCGUUAUCCAAUUACAAGAAGCUUGGUAUAGGGGUUGUGCAAGAUACCAAGAUGACACUCCAAUUCGCCAAUCAUUCGGUCAAGAAACCGUAUGGUAUUGUUGAAGAUGUUCUGGUGAAAAUUGACAAGUUUGUAUUCCCGAUGGAUUUGGUAAUUCUAGAAAUGUCGGAAGAUGAAGAGAUCCCUCUCAUCCUUGGGAGACCCUUUUUAGAUAUGGGAAGGUGCUUGAUCAACAUAGAAGAAGGGACUAUGGUGUUGAAGGUUUAUGAUGAGGAAUUGAAGAUCGAUGUUCGAAACACCAUGAGGUACAAGGAUGAUAUUUGUACCAGUCAUACUAUAGAGGUUCUGGAUCAGGUGAUGACGUAUGAUAGUCCUUUGAAUGCACCACAAUUACCUUUGGAAAGGGUAUUGAGUUUGUCCAUUUUCAAUAAUGAUAAAGAAGUGGACAACGGGGAAUCUGAAGUGCUAGACUUGCUGGAUGCACAACCCCCGUGGAAAGGAUAUCGACCACACCGGUGGGAAGAUUUACGGCUACCUCAAACUAGUGAGGAGGAUGAAGAGCCCAAGAAGGGAACGGAGUUGAAACAACUUCCUGAGAAUCUCAAAUAUGUCUUUCUCGAUUCGGAAGCCAAAUGUCCUGCUAUCAUAAAUUAAAGCCUAAAGAAUAUCCAAGAAGAUAACCUCAUCCAAGUCCUAAAAAAAUACAAAAAGGCUAUUGGAUGGGCAAUUGAGGAUUUAAAAGGUAUCAGCCCUACUGUAUGCAUGCAUAAAAUUCUCAUGGAAGAAGACCACAAACCGGUUGUCCAACCGCAGAGAAGACUCAACCCAGCAAUGAGAGAAGUAGUUCGAAAAGAGGUGGUGAAAUUGUUAGACGCAGGUCUUAUAUAUCUUAUUUCCGACAGCCAUUGCGUGAGCCCGAUGCAUGUUGUCCCAAAGAAAGGAGGACCACCGUAAUAAGGAAUGAAAAGAAUUAGUUAAUCCCUACUCAGGCAAUUACCGGGUGGCGCGUUUGCAUUGACUACAGAAGGUUGAACACAGCAACUAGGAAGGACCACUUCCCGUUGCCAUUUAUUGACCAAAUGUUGGAAAGGUUAGAUAGACAUGAUUACUAUUGUUUUCUAGAUGGAUACUUCGGGUAUAAUCAGAUUGCAGUCGCUCCGGAAGACCAAGAAAAGACAGCAUUCACAUGCCCGUAUGGUGUGUUUGCAUACCAAAGAAUGCCAUUCGGGUUGUGUAAUGCUCUAGCCACCUUCCAACGCUACAUGACUUCCAUCUUUGUCGGCAUGCUUGAAAAGCAUAUGGAAGUGUUCAUGGAUGACUUUUCGGUCUUUGGAUCCUCAUUUGAUAACUGUUUAACUAACCUCUCUCUUGUUUUAGACAGGUUCCAGAAAACAAACUUAAUUCUGAACUGGGAGAAAUGUCACUUCAUAGUGAGAGAAUGGAUAGUAUUGGGUCACAAAAUUUCCUACAAGGGAAUUGAAGUUGACCAGGCAAAGGUGGAAGUAAUAUCUAAGCUCCCACCUCUUGUUAAUGAGAAGGGCAUCAGGAGUUUCUUAGGACACACGGGUUUUUACCGCAGGUUCAUAAGAGAUUUCUCAAAAAUCACAAAACCGCUGACCACUCUAUUAGUUAAGGAUAAGGUAUUUAUGUUCGACAAAGAAUGCACCACAUCCUUUAAGACAUUGAAGAACAAGUUGAUUUCAGCACCAAUUGUUAUUUCCCUAGAUUGGUCUCUUCCGUUUGAGAUCAUUUAUGAUGCUAGUGAUAUUGUUGUAGGGGUAGUCUUAGGACAACAAAGAGAGAAGUUGCUACAUGUCAUUUACUAUGUUAGUCAUGUAUUGAACCCUGCACAGAUGAACUACGCAACUACUGAGAAAGAGUUAUUGGCCGUGGUUUAUGCAUUUGACAAAUUCAGGCAAUACUUGUUAGGAUCGAAGGUUGUCGUUUAUACUGACCAUGUCGCUUUGAAAUACUUAUUUGCUAAACAGGACUCUAAGCCGAGGCUUCUCAGGUGGAUCUUACUCCUCCAAGAAUUUGAUGUAGAGAUUAAGGACAAAAGGGGAUGUGAAAACACAGUAGCAGAUCAUUUAUCCAGAAUGUCACCAAUUGAAGGAACAGAAGAAAAGAGACCGAUAAAGGAUGAGUUCGUUGAGGAACACAUCCUCGUUGUCAUCGGUAUCCCUUGGUUCGCAGACUACGCGAAUUAUUUGGUGGGGGUGUAAUCUCUAAUGAUUUUGGUUCUAACAAAAAGAAAAAGUUUGUUCAUGGUUGCAGGUUCUACUUGUGGGAUGACCCAUUCCUAUACAAGAGAAGAGUGGAUGGACUGGUCAGAAGAUGCGUCUCGGAGGAGGAACAAAGGGAUGUACUCAGAGCUUGUCAUGACUCAGAUUAUGGAGGACACUUCAGUGGUGACAGAACAACGGCUAAGGUCCUUCAGUCAGGUCUAUAUUGGCCCAUACUGUUCAAAUAUGCCCAAGACAUUGUCAAAGAAUGCGACAGAUGUUAAAGAAUGGGGAAUAUUUCUAAGAGAAAUCAAAUAUCGUAAAACGCUAUGCUAGAAGUUGAAUUGUUUGAUGUCUGGGAAAUAGACUUCAUGGGGCCAUUUCCACCUUCAUUUGGAAAGAAUUACAUGUUAUUAGCAGUAGACUACGUAUCAAAGUGGGUGGAAGCGGUAGCAUUGCCCACCAAUGAUUCCAAAGUGGUUGUGACCUUUCUGAAGAAUAAUGUUUUUUUUUUCGAGAUUUGGGGUGCCGAGAGCACUUAUCAGUGAUGAAGGUACUCAUUUUUUAAACAAAAUGAUGGAGAAUCUGCUAAAGAAAUAUAAUGUUAAACACAAGAUCGCCACUCCGUAUCACCCACAAACGAGUGGCUAGGUCGAAGUGUCCAAUAGGCAGAUAAAGCAAAUACUGGAAAAGACUAUAUGCACAUCUCGGAAAGACUGGGCAGUAAAGUUAGAAGAUGCAUUAUGGGCAUACAUAAUGGCAUUCAAAAUGUCGAUAUGUAUGUCUCCCUAUCAGUUAGUUUAUGGUAAAGCUUGUCACUUGCCACUAGAGUUGGAGCAUAAAGCAUUUUGGGCAUCCAAGUUCUUAAAUUAUGAUCUUGCCAAAGCGGGUGAAUCCUGAAUCCUUCAGCUCCACGAGUUAGAGGAAUUUAGGAAUCAAGCCUAUGAGAAUGCCAAACUCUACAAGGAGAAGACAGAAAAAUGGCAUGAUCAGAAGCUACAGAGAAAGGAGUUUGUCGAGGGACAACUGGUGCUCUUGUUCAACUCCAGGUUAAAACUCUUUCCGGGAAAGUUGAAAUCCACGUGCUAGGGUCCAUUUUUGGUUCAUAGAGAGUUUCUCCAUGGAGCAAUAGAACUUAAAAAUCCUAGUAAUGGGGAUACAUUUAAGGUGAACAGACAAAGGUUAAAACACUACUGCAAAGGGCAAGAAAGUGGUCUGAUUCAUAAUGUUCGUCUCAGAGGAUAAGAGAGACGGCCGUCGAGCCAUGCGAUGUUAAACACAGCGCUUCGUGGGAGGAAACCACUCGGUUUAAUUCUAAUUAUUUUAGUGUUUGGUGUGUUUCCAAUUUUUAUUUGUAGGUUCGUGGGUAAAUCGUGAAGUACAGAAGAAAAGGUUUGAGUCAAACUCAUAGAAGGCAGUUGGCUAAAAGAGUAAGGGAAAACAGAGAAAAAAAGUCAGUUUUGAGGGGGAAAACAGGGCACUGACACGGGUGCCCGUGUCAGGAAAAGCAAGAAAGAGACGGAUUUUUCCAGUAGGCUGACACGGCCGCCUAUGUCAGCUGACACGACCCGUGUCAGCUCUAUUGGAGGUGGAGGCCAAAACCAGGGGCCUGACACAGCCGCCCGUGUCACGGGACACGGCCCGUGUCAGGCUGAACAGUGAUAUUUUUCAAAAUUUUAAAUUUUGCAUGUGUGGACCCCACCCGAAUUUUCCACCACUUAAAUCCAUUUUAAUCUCAAUUACUCCAUUAAAUCUGAUUUUCUCACCUUCUCUCUCCCAUUUUCACCAAACCUUUCUCCUUCCUCCAUUCUUUUUCAAAGUUCUCCAUAAGCUCAUCAACAAAAAGCUUACUACUUUGCCGCCAUACUCUGUCCAAAUCGCCAAAACCCUUCAUAAAAGUUGCUCUACUAUCCGUCCUCUACAAGGCCACGGUAAUCGUUUUUCCUUAUUCCAUACUUUAUUUUUGGUCAUAAUUUUUUGUUGCAGGAACCAAUCAUGCCGCCAAAGUGAAUUUCUAAAGGGAAACAAAUAAAAGCUGAAUCAUCGAGGCCUCGGAAACGGACCAUUCGUCAUCCGAAUUCGCACGAUAUAAUCUUCGACAACCCGGAGAACGAACGACGGUACUUUUAUCACGUUAAACGUAAGAUAACACCGACGAGGUACCUAUGCUCUGACACUUUAUUUCAAUUGGGUUUGUUGGAAGAAUUAUAUAGGAUGUUUCAUGUCCCCGACAUGCUUGAAUUUGUGCAUUAUGAAGCGCCUACUUAUGAGCGCAUCACUUUAGAAUUCUUGAGCACCAUUGAGUUCAAGUUAAAAAAAGGAUGGACAGGUACAACGAUGUACUAUGGAGGGACGGUGAAUUUCAGGUUAUAUAAUGUCAACCACGAAUUGACAGUGGAACAGUUGGGUGAGAUUCUCCGCCUACCCCUGUAUGGCCCUGAAGCCGUACCCGAUAGUUUUGAUGGUAAGACUUUCUGGUUGGCCAUCACGGGACGAUCAGAUUAUGUUACUAAAGGGGCGAAAGCAUCUGGAGUUCAAAACCCUUGUUUCAAAUAUGCUCAAAAGGUAUUGUCUUUCACGUUUUUCGAUAGGGGUGAUAACACAGGUGUGGCUACCCAGAGGGAGCUCUUCUUUUUGUUUGCCAUGGUAAACCGAGUUGUUGUAAGCAUUGGAGCAUUUGCAGCGGAUUACCUGGGUCGAGUGGGGAGAGCAGCCCAAGGGGGAAUUUCCAUCGGGGGUAUAAUCACACAGAUUACCCACCAUUUCGGUUAUGACCCUAUUGCACGAAAUGAGACGCCAGUGGCAGGUAAGCAUAAACUGGACAUGAACGCAUUGGUUCAACAAGGUAUGAUAUCACAAAUUUCUGAUUAUUAUGCUUUAAUGAGUUCUGGUCAAUUUAUUAUGGCCCUUCCUGACCCUGCACGAAUUAGCAUUGCCAACACGGCCAAUUGGCUAUAUGAGAGUGUCGUCCAAGAUGAUAUGGACGAGCACAAUGCUGACCCAUUUGAUACAUGUGACCAACAAGAGGAAGAGGUGCAGGAAGAGGUACAGGAACCAGAGUAGUUUGUUGCUCCGCCAGAGGACACCACGCACCCAGGUGUCGGGUCGUCAUAUGUGACACUGGACCAAUGGUCUUGGAUGCAGACAGAGAUCGGCGAUCUCCGAGCGGAGCAAACACGCCAAGACAUAGAGCAAGCCCGUCAAGGGACUCUUAUGGAUGAAAUGCAUGCGAUGAUGCAACGACUAAUGUUGCAAUUUCCUCCACCGCAGUGAGCCUCUGUGAGUCCCCUUCUAUCUUGGAUUAAACAUUGCGGAUAAUGUUUGGUUCAAGUGUGUAUGUGUGUGUGUGUGGAUUAUUAUUUGUUCUUAGUAUUUUCAACAUUUAUGAUUUUUGUUUAAAGUAAUUAGUUGUGUGGUAUUUUUUGUGUUACAGAUAGAGUACAUUCGUGCCGGAUGAAUGAUGAAGCUUGGAGCGAUUGGAUGAAAGACAUACUCCUUUACUUGCUCUUCUAGAAACCCCCAAAAGUUGAUAUUGUUGAUCUGAAUAAUCAGACGCGAUUGUCUGUCACUGCACUACUCAGGAAUACUCUGUAACCGAAGAGAAGACAAAGCUACAUCACACUGAGAGGUAUCUUGGAAGUCUGUAAGUUAUACCAAACAUGGUGAGAACUACAAAAAGGCCAAACACUUGUCAUCAUGAGAGAUUUUCAGGUAUGUCUCUGUCUCUCUGAGUUUGCAUAAGAGAUGCUGGAUUUCAUAACACACAUGUACACACUGAGGCAAUUUUUUUGUAUUAACCCUGAGCCUUUCCAGCCAACCCGCCAUUAUUACCCUUCGUUCACCCAAUUCGAGCCAUAUUUCCUUUUGUUUGUUGUUUAACCACUGUAAAUAACCGUAAGCCCAAACAUUAGCGUACCUUUCUUGGAUAAGUGUUGUUGGGGUUUCAUAAAAUUUUGGGACACCGAUGAAAAGUAGAUAAGUGCAGAAAAAGAAAAAUAGAAAAGUACGAAACUUCAAAAGAGAAAAAAAAAUAUGAUAAGUAUCAUGAAACACUUAUCUAGAAGAAUUGAGAUUGGCAAAAAGCGUGCUCAAAAGAAAAAAAAAAGAGAAAAAUAAGAGCCAAUGAAUCCUAACAAGAACGAUGCCCAAAAGAAAAACCUCUUGAUUAAAAGAUUGAACACAACUACAAGGGUAGCAACACGGACUCUGAGCUUGAACCUCUAGUUUUUCCCUUUUUGUUUUGUUAAGUUUCCUCACCUUGCACCUUAUCCCCACUACAACCCAAAAAGCCCUCGAAUAGUGUGUGUUGUGUGUUUUUGUUAUGAAGGUAUCUGUUAUUCAAACCUAUGAGUUGACUUUGCAUGCUCUGUUUUUUAGUGAAAACACUUUGACCCCGAGAGAUUUUGUGAGAGUGUGAAAAGCUACAAACCAGAAGGUGCGUCAAUGUGAAAAAGUGUAAAGGAAGUUGGAAGUCGGGAAAGAGUAAAACAGUGAAUGAAAAAUGAACAGGGAAUCACGAAAGAGCACAAUAACAUUGUGGAUGCAGAGUUUAGGGGUGACCGUUCUGAUGUCUCGAGCAUCACUUGAGGACAAGCAAUGAGAUAAGUUUGGGGUUGUGAUCAGUCUCCAAUUCUAUUUUUUUUCGGACACUCAUUCGGCACAAUUUCACGAAGUCGGUAACACAUUGUUCUACCUGUUUUGUUGUUCUGUUUAGUAAAUUAGAUGUUUGCAUUUUUAUUUAAGUUUGUUGAUUAUCUUUGGUUUGCAUCAUUAUACUUCAUUUUAUGUCUCCUUGUGGUAGUUUUACUGGUUUCAGGUGUAAGCAAGAAUACCGAAGGAAUUGCCAUGGGAAUCGGACGUUCCGGGCCCAUAGGAAGAGGAAAUUGGACAUACAAUAACCCUGACACGGGUGCCUGUAUCACCCGACCCGACCCAUGUCAGGAGAAGGGGGGCAUAGCCAUAAAAUAGGGAGUUGACACGGCCGCCUAUGUCAGCUGACACGGCCCGUGUUAGCCAUCCUGGAAGGGGCAUGUCAGCCCUUGCAGCCAGACAGCCAACAUGGCCGGUCGUGUUGCCUGACACGGCCAGUGUUAGCUUGGACGCCUCAUUUUCCAGUUUUUGCUGUAUUUUGGCACGGCUUAUCCCGAAGGGCAUUUUGGACUUUUGCUACAUCAAAUUAGUGAUCAGUAACUAUUUAGGGGAUUUUUGAAUACGGAGAAGAGGACUUUUAACGAUUACAGAUUUGGUACGAUUAAGAUUGAAGCGAUCAAAAGCGACGAAGAACGGAGGUCCUUCAAGAGCGGAUGCGAUUGAAGAUCAACGAAAUUCCCUUACUUUUGUAAUGUCUAAAUUUUAUUUUGUAUCUUAUUUGAAUAAUAUGAGAGGUUAAACCCCUCAAUGCCAUGGGGUGUCCCUGAAUUGAUCGUGUAAUGACUCUGAAUUAAUAAUUUCCUUAAUAUAUGAUGUUUGUUGUUAAUUUCACUGUGCAAUGUUCGUAAUGCUUUCUUUAUCAGAAAAAUUAGGAUUGUUAAAUGGUUAAUAAUUUGCGGGAUUGCAAUUGUUAAGGUGUUUGUACAGUGAAACCAUAGUAUAUGUCACCUAGGGCUAGGGAUACCCUAUGGUUACCGGUUUUAUCUUGUUAAUUUGUAAUUGCUUGGUUUCAUUAUAAUCGCCUAAGGACUUAGAGAUUAAAAUGAAUGACCAAAGGUUUCCCUUUAAGGUCGUAGGAGGAAACAAUUUUAAGAUUCGGUAAUUGAACAUUUUGUUUUGUUAAGGAGAUAUACACUCAAGGGUCAUUACAGGAGAUUUUCAUACACCAUCCUUGGCAUAUUAUUAUAAAUUGUGAAAAGAUUUACCCUAUUUUAUUUUCUCAUACAAUGACUUUUUACAAAACCCCAACUAUUUGUUUUGUUCAAUUAAGUCACAAUUUAAACUUGUAUUGUUGCGCAAUCCUCGAGAUCGAUCUUUGGGAAACAUCCCUAUUAUUACUACAUCUGCAAAAUCGUACACUUGCUAUUUUCUCGAUCACUUCACUCUCAGAACUCAUAGAUAUUUUCCUCUCUCGAAUUUGUAUUCUCAUAUUCAUCUCAAGAUCCAGAGGAAGAAGAAGGAAGAAGAGAGAAGUGAAAAAGAAUAAGAGCAUAGGUUAGAACGUACCUGAUUCAAGUGAUUUUCUUCAUUGCAAGCUUCUUCCCCGGAGCAACGUUUUUCCGGAGCAAAUCUCCGCUUAUGAGGUAAUUAUUUUUCUCCUCGUUUCUGCACGAUCUUGUUACCACUGUGUAGAUUAUGCUCUAGGUAUAAUUAUCCCUAAGCUUUGAUCAUGAAUCUGUGAACAACCAUCGUUUAAUUUAUCAUUUCUUGCCUAGGGUUCUUGAAUGCUU